GGUUAAAAGUGUAAUUUUAUUUAGAUGUUACUUGUACAUAAUCUAUACUAAGAUAUACAAACAGAUAAAAAUUGCUUAACAGGAGUUUUUUUUUUUUUAAUACCACUUUAAAUUCAAUUUACAACAGCAUUGGUAAUACUCCAAGAUGACAGAUACUCUGAUUUAUAAAACAAAAAUUACUUGCUACUCUGGCUGAUACAUUCCCACUAGUCUUGAAUGGAUUAAAAUGUAUCAUGUAUCAUGUAUUUCAGUUGCAAAUUAUUACAAAAUGUUUACAACCUAGCCACUUGGUGCUCAGAAAAGAUAUUGAGAUUCUAAAAAUUUACUGAAAUGAAAGUGUUAACUCUCUAACAGUAUACUUACUAAACAGAAACAUAAGUGCACCAAAACUUAUGGUUUGGGGCUAACAACAGGAAAUCAUGUGCCUUUUGCUCAACCACAUCUCAUGUUGUGCAGCUAGUGUGUGGUGCUGAGCGAUCUUCUCACCCGCUCUGCCUACAUCUACAAUAUGAGAAAAAAGCUGAUAAGAAAUUAAACUCAAAUACACAGGGGGAAAACACUGGGGACAAUUUAAAAUAAGCUUACAAUAUAUAACUACUUUAAAAUGUAAAAUUCAUAGAUAUGAAAUACAUUUUAAAAGUUUUUCUCCAUUUGUUUUGGUAAAUACUUUUUGAAAAUGAAAACUGAAAAUUCAAAAUCUUCACUUUUUCCUUUUCACGUAAUACCAUAUUAGAAAAAGUUUGGAUUUAAAUUUUAGAAUAAACCAAACUUGCUGAGAAAAAUACUGCAAAAAUAAUCUAAACUGGAUUUUAGUCCUUUUCCAUUCUUUUAACGGCUAUAUAACAUAUCAGGGCAAAAGCUUUUUCACUAGUCAGAAAAUCAAGCUGAAAAUAACUUGUUGAUUAAGCUUUAGGAAGACAACUAAUAAUUAAUGGGCUUAUGAAUAUUUAUGAAUAAAGUGCCACUCAUUUUACUGUAAUAGAUAUACAUAGAAGAAAUUCGGACAUGGAUAGUAGCUUUAUGUGUUCUCUCCAUCCUGAGAAGAGACGGGACAUAAAAACAAAGAAGCAUUACCGAAAACAAGUUCUAGAAUUAUACAGGGAACUCCUAA